rnacentral:rRNA from 1 species
AGUGGGGGAUAACGUAGCGAAAGUUACGCUAAUACCGCAUAUGCCCUGAGGGGGAAAGGAGGGGAUCGUAAGACCUUUCGCUUUCGGAGUGGCCGAUAUCAGAUUAGCUAGUUGGUGGGGUAAAGGCCCACCAAGGCGACGAUUUGUAGCGGGUCUGAGAGGAUGAUCCGCCACACUGGGACUGAGACACGGCCCAGACUCCUACGGGAGGCAGCAGUGGGGAAUUUUGGACAAUGGGGGCAACCCUGAUCCAGCCAUGCCGCGUGAGUGAAGAAGGCCUUCGGGUUGUAAAGCUCUUUCGGACGGAAAGAAAUCCUAUUCGCUAAUACCGGGUGGGGAUGACGGUACCGUAAGAAGAAGCACCGGCUAACUACGUGCCAGCAGCCGCGGUAAUACGUAGGGUGCGAGCGUUAAUCGGAAUUACUGGGCGUAAAGCGUGCGCAGGCGGUUUUGUAAGACAGAUGUGAAAUCCCCGGGCUUAACCUGGGAACUGCAUUUGUGACUGCAAGGCUAGAGUGCGGCAGAGGGGGGUAGAAUUCCA